AAAAAACAAAAAGCCAGAAAGAUCUGACCUCACCUUAACCACUGUAGGUAGAAUUUAUCAGUUUAACUCUUACAAAUCAACUUAACCAAUUCCUCUCAUUUGCCCAUCCCUAUGAGUAGUUUUAAGCCUUGCUUGCAGAUUAUAAUCAGAAUCCUAGGGAGCUUUUUAAAAAAUGCCUCACCCCAGAUAUCCUCAUGUUUAAGUUUCUGGGAUUGAGAACCCCUGAUCUACAUUUGCUGUUGUGCAAUAUCAUUUCAUACACAAGCUCAGCACUAUGAGGUGGACACCUCCUGAGCAGAUGGGAAAAUUACAUUUGAUAGCCACAUUAGUUUCCUGUUCCUGCUGUAACAAAUCAACGCAAAAUGGCUUAGAACAACACAAAUUAUUUUUUUCUUUGAGACGGACUCACUCUCACCCGGGUUGGAGUGUAGUGGCAUGAUCUCAGCUCUGCAACCUCAGCCUCCCAAGUAGCUAGGACUGGCAUGCACCAACGUGCCCAGCUAUUUUGUAUUUUUGGCAGAGAUGGGGUUUCGCCAUGUUGCCCAAGCUGGUCUCGAACUCCUGGGUACAAGCCAUCUACCUGCCUCGGCCCCGCAAAGUGCUGGGAUUACAGUGUGGGCCACUGUGCCUGGCCACAAGUUAAUUUUUUUUAUAGUUCUGGAGGUCAGAAGUCCAAACUGAGACCCAGUUCUCUGAAGUCAGGGAGGCAGCAGGGCUAGUUCCUUCUGCAGGCUGUGAGAGAAAAAUCUGCUUCCUUGACUUUUCCAGCUUCUAGUGGCCACCUAUAUUCCUUGGCUUGUGGCCACUUCAUCUGCCUUCAGAGAGCGCCUCUCCAAAAUCUCUGCUUCUGUGAUCACACUGUCUUCUCUAACUCUGACUUCUCCUGUGUCCCUCUCAUAAGGAUCAUUGUGAUUACACCGGGCCCCCUUGGACAAUCCUGACAAUCUCCCAGACUCAAGAUCUUUAAAAUAAUCACAUUUACAAAGUCCUUUUUGCCAUAUAAGGUAACAUUUGCAGGCUCUGGAGAUUAGAGUGUGGGCAUAUCUGAGGGCCAUUCAGCAUAUUACAGUAACUUUUUGUUUGUUGGUUUGAGACAGAGUCUGGCUCUGUCACACAGGCUGGAAUACAGUGGCACCAUCUUAGCUCACUG
rnacentral:lncRNA from 10 species